UGCAGCAAGCAAAUCUGGAAGCAAAAAAGGGAGACGGUUAUUGAUCACACCAAUUAAGUGUUCUAGUCAAAUGAUGACAGACGUGACACAUGAUGUUUCCAUAAUUUAGGAAUGUUUGGUGAAAACUGUUCUUUCUCUGGAGUUAUGAAUUACAAAAAAAGUGAAAACGUUAGAUCUUUGUCAAUAUGAGUGUUGACUAUUCACUGUAUAAAUGCCAUCAGUUGGUCAUGAUAAUGUCACGUUACAUCAUUUCUCCUGGCAGAUAACCAAGUUCAUGAUUUAAACCUUCCAAUGCACCUAAAACAACUUCACAGCUACACAGCUGGGACCAAUUUUGCAAUCAAGCCUUGCUGAUUUCAACACCUUGGUUCCAGACUGUGUUGGCAGAAGGUCACUUCACAUCCUCAGGAGAUCGCUUGGAACCAGGACAUCAACCACAACCUGCAGAGUCAAUUGCCAGGUCUGAUCAUCCAGUCGACG